rnacentral:rRNA from 1 species
GAUUAACGCUGGCGGCGUGCAUAACACAUUCAAGUCGAACGGUGACGGGGCUUCGGCCCCUGAUCAGUGGCGGACGGGUGAGUAACGCGUGAGCAACCUGCCCUUGUGUGGGGGAUAACGUUUGGAAACGGACGCUAAUACCGCAUAACCCAAUAGUACGGCAUCGUACAGUUGGCAAAGAUUUAUUGCACAAGGAUGGGCUCGCGUCUGAUUAGGUAGUUGGUGGGGUAACGGCCUACCAAGCCCGCGAUCAGUAGCCGGACUGAGAGGUUGAACGGCCACAUUGGAACUGAGAUACGGUCCAGACUCCUACGGGAGGCAGGAGUGGGGAAUAUUGGGCAGUGGGGGAAACCCUGACCCAGCGACGCCGCGUGAGGGAAGAAGGUCUUCGGAUUGUAAACCUUAAACAACAGGGACGAAACAAAUGACGGUACCUGUUAGGAAGCCACGGCUAACUACGUGCCAGCAGCCGCCGUAACAC